CAGUCGCCGCGGGAAUACGAAGGGUGCAAGCGUUAAUCGGAAUUACUGGGCGUAAAGCGUGCGUAGGCGGUGAGUUAAGUCUGCUGUGAAAUCCCCGGGCUCAACCUGGGAAUGGCAGUGGAUACUGGCUCGCUAGAGUGUGUCAGAGGAUGGUGGAAUUCCCGGUGUAACGGUGAAAUGCGUAGAGAUCGGGAGGAACAUCAGUGGCGAAGGCGGCCAUCUGGGACAACACUGACGCUGAGGCACGAAAGCGUGGGGAGCAAGCAGGAUUAGAUACCCGAGUAGUCCCUGUCUCUUAUAC
rnacentral:rRNA from 1 species